UACGAAGGGGGCUAGCGUUGCUCGGAAUCACUGGGCGUAAAGCGCACGUAGGCGGCUUUCUAAGUCAGGGGUGAAAUCCUGGAGCUCAACUCCAGAACUGCCUUUGAUACUGGAGAGCUUGAGUCCGGGAGAGGUGAGUGGAACUCCGAGUGUAGAGGUGAAAUUCGUAGAUAUUAGGAGGAAUACCGGUGGCGAAGGCGGCCUUCUGGGCCGUUUCUGACGCUGAGACGCGAAAGCGUGGGGAGCAAACAGG
rnacentral:rRNA from 1 species